UCGACCUCAUAAAGGCUUUUAUUUUGCUCAGCUUGCUUUUGUCACGUAAAAAAUAGGACAAUGACAAAUCCUUGGAGAUGAUUGAAUCUUGUCCUUUAUCUUGUUCUGAUUUCAGAGCUAGGUGAGCUCGAUGGCGUGCAACCUAACUCAAAUGCCUCAAGUUCGAGUUCUCUGCAAGCGUGACUACUUCCUUUAGUUGC
rnacentral:lncRNA from 1 species